UGGCGGAUGCUGUUCCACGCCCGCGCUCCGCACGUGGCCGACUGCGGCCGCCAGCCGGGCAGGCAGCCCCGCUGGCGCCGGCGUGUUUUUGUUUUUUUAAAAGUCAUCCUUACAAGGUUGCGGUGGUAGACGCACUACCACCCUACUGCCAAGGCAGCCUGGAUCAUAUCACAGAACCUCAAUAGGGCCAGAGAUCAGAGAAGAGAAGAGAAGUUUGUUCCACCACACACCUACUGGAAACCUCAACAGCCAGGUGACACCACACACCUACUGGAGUUCUCAACAGCAAUGUGACAACUACAGCCACUGCCUUGACCACACAGAUCAUCUAGAGCUCUCCAGUUGACAGGCCCAGAGCUCCACUUGAAUCUUGGAUCUUGAACUUGAAAGCUCUCCAGUUGCAGGCCCAGAGCUCCAGCCUUGUACCCCAGAGACUCCCUGCACCACAGGGGGGGUCUACACACCACCAAGGUGUGGAUGGGUUUUGGUAAACCAGGGCCCUUCCUGGUGGGGUGACCGGGAUUCGAACCCAGGAUCUCUCAAAGCCUUAACGAAAUCGGCUUGAGUGUCUUAACCAUUUAGACGACCCCCCCGUCGCUGUACACCCACGCCCACAUGGUGGCAGAGUCCGGGCGCACAUGGGUAAGCAGCGCCCGGGUGAGCGUCUUCCAGGGUUGCCGGCCUGGCUGGGCAAGGAGGGCGAAAGUCUUAGCUUGCAGGGCAGACAGGAACGCAGGCAGGUCGACGUGGUUGACACCCCCAUCCUUGUACGUCAGACAUGCCGUUUCCCGCUUUGGCAGCAGGAGCGGGUUCCCGUGCGACACCAGGCUGGCGUCCUCAGCGUGCAUGGAGCGCGCAGCAAAGUGGUCCACCGCUUUCGCCGCCGGCGCUCAAGCUGGACCCGUGCUGCCCCCCGCCGGCGGCACCCCAGAGGCUGCACAGGCAGCCGCUCAACAGGCAGCAGGCGGUUCCACCAGCACUGGCGUGGGAUUGGGUGCUUAAGAUGAGGGCCGCAGGCGGCGCCGGCAUGGGUGGGCGCAACGGCAGCGGUGCGGCGGUGCCCCCCCCCCCCUGGUUUUAGCUCUGGCUGGCGUCGCAGCGCCUGGGCGGCUGUGGGACUUCCUGCACAGCGCGUCUUGCAGCGGGCUGGAGCCCGCUUAGUCAGCGCCACAUCUGGCCCGUUUAGUUUUCUGCUUGUGUCUCCUCUGCCGGUUCUCCUGGGGUGUUGCUUAAGCAACCGACUUGUGGGGGUGGGGUGGGUUUGGGCGGGGCGAGUGCGUAGCACUGGUGUUUCUUUUUCUGGCGCGCGGUGGUGGUGGUUCUUGCGGUUAGGCUGUGGUGUAGGUUGGUGCUUGGGUUAGGUUUUGCGGUGUUUUUUGUGCAACCCCUCCCGGGGGGCAGGGGGGCCAGCCUCCUGCUCUGUCUGCCGGGUCGGGGUGGGGGGAGGUGGGAUGGGUGGGGGUGGUUGUUGGCGCUUUCGAGGUGUUUGCUUUCUGCUUUCUUCUCUUUUCUUCUCUUCUUACCCUGUCAGGGUUCUGGUCUCGGGGACCAGGCUGCCUUUAGGCAGCAGGGGGGCAGCACGUCUGCCCCUGUUCAACCUUGUAAGGAUGAUUCCUCAAAAAAAAGGCCAUGGCUGCUGUCGCCGCCGGCGCUCAAGCUGGACCCGUGCUGCCCCCCGCCGGCGGCACCGCAACGGCUGCACAGUCAGCCGCUCAACCGCAGCAGGCAGUUCCACCAGUGCUGGCGUGGGAUUGGGUGAAUAAUAAUAAUAAUUACAACGCUGGCCCAUAGGGCCUGGCAUGGAUUAACGGGGCAAGGUGACUAGGGCGAGAGGGCCCGCCCCCCUCACGCUGACGCCUCACCACGAAAGAGUCACAACCUCCGAAACUACAACCUCCAAGUCCUAGGCCGCUCUUCAAAGUCCACUACAUCCAAGCCUGCACACCUAGCAUAUCGAGCUAGGGAAACGCCGCGUUAUAGUAGUGGAGCACUGCCAGUUCGUGCAAACCGAGGAGCCAUGGCGCUCCUCUUCGAGCCUUGGAUCUUGAGCCUUGUCUUGAACCUUGGACCUCGCCACUAAAUCGGACUUCUGCACCACGACCUUUCUAGGUUGCAGCGGGCACAAGCCCACAAUUGCCACUAAGGGCAAUUACCCAUCGUUCGUGGGAUCACCAAUCGGUUUCGCACCAAUCUUUCGCCUUUUGCAUAAUUGGGCUUUUAUCCGGAUUCGUACCCGGGUCCCUUCUGCCGUAAGGACGAGUCAAAUCGCUAACUGAGUUAGCGAUCCGGUGAUGUGGGAUUGGGUGCUUAAGAUGAGGGCCACACACCCAUGUCGUCACCCAGCAUGAAGGCCGCGUCCGUCACUGGCGGCGCCGCUGCCUGGGGCGCAACGCAGGCCCACAGCUGCUGCAGCCACGUCCUCGCCUGUGCAUAAGCUGGACACUCCAGGAAGAUGUGCGUUAGGCUGGCCCACGCCCGCGGGCCAGGUGGCCCGCAGGCAGGCUGAGGACAGUGCGCCCUCAACCCCCCGCACCCCAUGGUCACCCGUGGACGAAUUCCCUUGCCCACCCGGUACAGCCCGCAAGGCAGGUAAGCAUGUUGCAGCCGGUACACCAGCACCUUUGCCCCCCGACUGGCGUGGCUUUUUUUUUGAGGAAUCAUCCUUACAAGGUUGAACAGGGGCAGUGGCUGUCCCACAGCCUCCGCCACGCACCCCGCAGAAGGGACGCAUCCGGGGGCGGCAUGCGAGGGUCGCCCUCCACCGCCGCCGCUGCUGCCGCCGCCGCUGUGGCAGGCCCCGUGCUAGGUCCCGCCCCGCCCGCCACCUGCUCCUGCAGCCGCGCGGAACGCCGCGGCCCCUCACCCGACUGCUGGGACGGUGAUGCAUACGACUGCAGCUCUCUCGCCGGCGUGUUCUGCUGCCCGGCUGCCGUGGAGGUGCGGUGGAGCCAGGGGUCCAGAGCCACCGGGUUAUUGUGGAAGUGCUGCGCCGCCGUGGUGGUCAGCUGCGCCGCUGCACGCUGCCACUCCGCCUCCCACUCCGCCAGCCGUGACUGUGCCGCCGGCUGGUUCCCCGAACCCCCCGCCUGCUGUGCUGGCGCCGGGCACGGCAUGGCUGCGGGGCGGGCCGGAGCCAGAGGGGCGGCCGGGUUAGCCGCGGUGAUGGCCCGCCGCACGUCCCGCACCGUGUAGUCCGCCAAGCUGACACCCGCAAUAAUAAUAAUAAUAAUAUCUACGCAGGGCACAGGUGCCCGCGUGUCUUAAGGAGGAGUGAGACAAGCUCACCCCACCAUCGGAAAACUUGAUUUCCCUACCCCAGCUCCCCUGCGCGGGGGCCGCCAUUGGCGGUCCCCUGGGUGCGGCCUCCCGGGCGGCAUCGGGUGUUGGCAAUGCCCAUCUCUCGCUCUAGCCGGUAGUACAGGUUUGCGGUGCCCCGGAGUGUGGUGACGCUAUGCAUGUGGAGACGUGUGCAGCAGGCCUUGGCUGCCUGCGGUUUGGCUCCUAGGUCUUUGAGGAGAGUUUCAAGGGUACGGGGGACAGUGCCACCGUGGCCCAGUGUAAUAACGUGUUUAGUAUCGUAGUGCACAGUCCACCCUGCAGCUCGCAUGGCAGUGGCAAGGGCGGCGUGCUGUGCUUGUUUUUGAAUGAGCUUCUCGCUGUGGUGCAGGUCAGAGGUGUAUCCAACUUCAAGGAUGUACACUGGGUAGGCCCCUUUGUUGGCUGGUGGGGAUGUCAUGAAGUGUUCUGCUUCGGACCGGGGAAGGUUCAGGAUAAACAGAAUGUCAGGCCGCAUCCUGUUGAGGUCUGCAGCGGGCACUUGCGGGCAGAGCCAGGACGGCGGCCGCAUGCCCGCACAGUACUCAGGCAGUUCAGCUCGGGAGGUGGCAUCCAUUAUCAUGUAGCCACCACCGUUGUGACCAUGGUGUAGGCAUUCGGCAAUCGUCCGCACUGCAGUGUUGUGUUUGGCUAUCCUAGCGCCAACGAGUUGGGGGUGCGCGCAGUGGCCGGCAAGGUGACCUGCGGUGCCACGCUCUGGGUCAGAUCCGCGGCUGCGCUGGGUGUGGGUACAGAGACCACAUUUGUCGCUGUCUCGUAGUCUAAACAAAGCCAGCCGGGCCGGGCAGAUGAGGCCUCCCUGACGAGCAUUCUGUAUGAAGACACCCGCAAUCCGGCAGUGCUCCGGGUGCACCACCACCCAGCCUCCGGCGCCAGGAAGCGCGUCUGCCCCUGUUCAACCUUGUAAGGAUGAUUCCUCAAAAAAAAAGGAAGUACGGCGCCCGAGGCCACGCCCCCGCCCGUUCCCCAGGUGAUGCUGCAUCGUACGCCACCCGCUCGUCAAAAGUCCACAGGUGUCGCGGCUUGCGAUGCUGCAGCACACAGGCAGGCUGCCACGCCACAUCCACCACCGGGGGCAGCACGCCAGGCCCAGGCUCCAAGUGCCGCCCCGUGUAGUGGACGUAGGACACAGCGCCAGCAGCGUUAGCCACCCACAGCUGGUCCAGGCUAACCCGCCACUGUGGCGGCGCCACUGGCGGCUGAGUGGCUGGCUGUGGCGGAUGCUGUUCCACGCCCGCGCUCCGCACGUGGCCGACUGCGGCCGCCAGCCGGGCAGGCAGCCCCACUGGCGCCGGCGCGUUUUUGUUUUUUUUAUAAGUCAUCCUUAAGGUUGCGGUGGUAGACGCACUACCACCCUACUGCCAAAGCAGCCUGGAUCAUAUCACAGAACCUCGAUAGGGCCAGAGAUCAGAGAAGAGAAGAGAAGUUUUUGUUCUACCACACACCUACUGGAAACCUCAACAGCCAGGUGACACCACACACCUACUGGAGUUCUCAACAGCUAGGUGACAACUACAGCCACUGCCUUGACCACACAGAUCAUCUAGAGCUCUCCAGUUGACAGGCCCAGAGCUCCACUUGAAUCUUGGAUCUUGAACUUGAAAGCUCUCCAGUUGCAGGCCCAGAGCUUCAGCCUUGUACCCCAGAGACUCCCUGCACCACAGGGGGGGUCUACACACCACCAAGGUGUGGAUGGGUUUUGGUAAACCAGGGCCCUUCCUGGUGGGGUGACCGGGAUUCGAACCCAGGAUCUCUCAAAGCCUUAACAAAAUCGGCUUGAGUGUCUUAACCAUUUAGACGACCCC
rnacentral:lncRNA from 1 species